rnacentral:misc_RNA from 1 species
GAUGAAGAACGCAGCGAAAUGCGAUAAGUAAUGUGAAUUGCAGAAUUCAGUGAAUCAUCGAAUCUUUGAACGCACAUUGCGCCCGCCAGUAUUCUGGCGGGCAUGCCUGUUCGAGCGUCAUUACAACCCUCAGGCCCCCGGGCCUGGCGUUGGGGAUCGGCGGAGCCCCCCGUGGGCACACGCCGUCCCCCAAAUGCAGUGGCGGUCCCGCCGCAGCUUCCAUCGCGUAGUAGCUAACACCUCGCGACUGGAGAGCGGCGCGGCCACGCCGUAAAACACCCAACUCUUCUGAAGUUGACCUCGAAUCAGGUAGGAAUACCCGCUGAACUUAAGCAUAUCAAAAGCGGAGA